rnacentral:rRNA from 1 species
UACAGAGGGGGCAAGCGUUGUUCGGAAUUACUGGGCGUAAAGGGCGCGUAGGCGGCCUGCUAAGUCGAACGUGAAAUCCCUGGGCUCAACCCAGGAACUGCGUCCGAUACUGGUUGGCUUGAAUCCGGGAGAGGGAUGUGGAAUUCCAGGUGUAGCGGUGAAAUGCGUAGAUAUCUGGAGGAACACCGAUGGCGAAGGCAGCCUCCUGGGCCAGCACUGACGCUCAUGCACGAAAGCGUGGGGAGCAAACAGG